UACGGGGGGGGCAAGCGUUGUUCGGAAUUACUGGGCGUAAAGGGCUCGUAGGUGGCCAACUAAGUCAGACGUGAAAUCCCUCGGCUUGACCGGGGAACUGCGUCUGAUACUGGAUGGCUUGAGUUUGGGAGAGGGAUGCGGAAUUCCAGGUGUAGCGGUGAAAUGCGUAGAUAUCUGGAGGAACACCGGUGGCGAAGGCGGCAUCCUGGACCAAUAUUGACGCUGAGGAGCGAAAGCUAGGGGAGCAAACGGG
rnacentral:rRNA from 1 species